ACAGAGGCCAGCGGAUGAGAGAGACACCAGGGAGCCUGGGAUGCCUGCCCGAGGCUCUGGCCACGCCCAUGCCCUGCCUGUCCCGCUAAGAGACGAGAAGUCUUGCCAUGUUGCCCGGGUUGGUCUCCAACUCUUGGGCUCAAGACAUCCUCCUGCUUCAGGCUCCCUCAGUGCUGAGAUUUCAGCACACAGAGGAAAGGCCAUGUGAGGACACAGCAAGAAGGCGGCCAUCUGCAAGCCAAGAAGAGAGUCCUCACCAGGAACCAACUCUGCUGACACCUUGCUGUUGGACUUCCAGCCUCUAUAAAUGUUCACAAGCACACCACUGUUUACACCCAUCUAGAAGGCCCCUCCCAGCUGACAUCUUUCUGCCUACCUUUCAGGAAGACAGACGAAACUCUCUGCCUUCAGGUGGGGCAAGGUAGGUGGCCAGUCUGAUGAGAGAGGCGGAUGACAAACAUCAUGACAGAGGGUGAUGAAGAAAUCUCAAACAGAAAACUAUAGCAGAAGCUGGGCACAGUGGCUGACACCCGUAAUCCCAGCACUUUGGGAGGCCGAGGCAGGAGGAUCGCUUGAGCCCAGGAGUUUGAGACCAGCCUGGGCAACAUAGGGAGACCCCAUCUCUACAAAAAUUAAAAGAUUAGCUGAGCGUGGUGGUGCACACUUGUAGUCCCAGCUACUUGGGAGGCUGAGGCAGGAGGAUGGAUUGAGACCAGGAGUUGGAGGCUGCAGUGAACUAUGAUUGCACCACUGCACUCCAGCCUGGGCAGCAGAGUGAGAUCCUGUCUCUAAAAUCAAAGAAAUAAAGAAAACAGCCAGGCACGGUGGCUCACACCUGUAAUCCCAGCAUUUUGGGAGGCCGAGACUGGCAGAUCACCUGAGGUCGGGAGUUCAAGACCAGACUUACCAACAUGGAGAAACCCUGACUCUACUAAAAAUACAAAAUUAGCCGGGUGUGGUGGCGUGUGCCUGUAAUCCCAGCUACUCUGGGGGCUGAGGCAGGAGAAUCGCUUGAACCCAGG
rnacentral:lncRNA from 1 species